AAGGAUUUAAGUUAAGCAAAAAACUAAUAGCCUUCAAAGCUAUAAAUAAAAAUAAUUUUUUAAGCCUUA
rnacentral:tRNA from 1 species